AAACUCAAGAAAACAUCAUAAAUUGCCCGAGGUGUGAAAGAGAGGGCCCCUUGAGCUCUCACAAUAGCCAUUGGAAAAACUCUUGUGAUAUAGCUGAAGGGAUGUUACAAUUUGUCAAAUCUUUGAGGAUGCAUCAAAUGGUCACUGUGAUCUACAAAAUCAUGAAACCAUCAACCCAGAUCAAAAUUAGUUACCAACACUCAAAGCCGCGCGCGCACACACACAAGUAUAUAUAUCAGAUUAUUGAAGAAACUUUGCACACUCUAUUAUACUUGAAUAAAAAAUAGUGCUCUCAACAUUUCAUUUUAUUUGUCCAUUUGAGAGCUCCAACUUUAAAGUAGUUACUACAUUGGAACUCAAAUUCAAUUACUCGUAUAUGAUUACCAAGGCUGCCCCUUUAUUUCUCACUUUCAAAUAUAUUACAAAUCUCAUGCUUUGAUGUUUCAAAGUGGACAACCAUUUUAAAAUAUCUUUAAAUAAAAAGAUGAAUAAAAAAAAAUCAGGACAAUAGGGAGUCAUUAAGAAUCAGUAGUAAAAACAUCCGAGUUUAAUAUUGCAAAUGCAAAAUACUACAUAUCAUAAAAAAAAUUGCCAUAGAAAUACCUCAACAAAAAGCACACUAUCUUGAAUGUGACGAUAAAAGAUCCAUGAAGAGAGCGGGAAGCAAACUUCUCUUCCUUUUUAGUGUUAAUUUCUAAUUUUUGAUAGGACAACAAUAUUCUGCCUUUUUAGCUUUCCUAUUUUUAAGCACAAAAAUUAGUAUAGUCAAUUAGCUUAGAUUCGUAGUCCUUGGAUAAUGAGAGUACCGUAUCCACCUAAUCAUACUGGGUAGGUCCAUAUAGGGUCAUUUGGGAAUUAAUAAAUUCGGUACCUCGGGGGUUCGUUUGCAAUUUAAGAGGUGGAAAUUUGUAUUUUUAAAUCGUGGGUAAUUACGCGUGCGAGAGUGGCCAGAGGGGGGUGGUCGGUUAUCUUCGAUUAGCCUAUACAGAUAACAAAAUUGGGGUUACUGAUUACACACCCACACAACACACACCACAGAAGAGAAGAAGAAGAAGAAGAAGAGAAGAAGAAAGUGAGCCAUGCAUGGGAGAUGGAGUGGCGGAACAGCAGCUGUGGAGAGUAACAUUGGCGCUCAAGGGCAGCCGCGACGGAGCGGAGUGGCAGUGUCGGUAACAGCGUUUCCGACCACAGUAGUGGCGUUUUCGAUCGUGAUGGAUGUAGGUUUCUUGUUCCCUUUUCCUUAUGUAUUGGCUGUUGGGUUCAGCAAUGGGGAAUGGUUUUGAUGUUUUUUGUUUGUGGAAUAAUGAAUGGAAGUCAUCAUUUGGGGAUUAUUGCAUUAUGGAUGAAAAAGAAGAAGAUAGAAAAGGAGAGAGAGAAUCGAAACCAAUCUGGUUUUAGAGCGAGAAACCGGGGGUUCUCCUAAAUGGAAAAAUAACAAAAUUUUAUGAUGGUGUGGUCGAGUCCCAGAGGUCUAGCUGUUGCAUUCUAGUGCAUUUGGCCUAUUCGGGUAGACCUUUGACGCUAGUAAGGACCUUGCUUAUAUUUCUCGGCGUGCAGAAUCCAUUUUUGAGGUUAUUUUCAGCAGAUUUAUAUCAGAAAGUUACGAUCUAAAAUUGGUUGAAUCACACGGCAAUUGUGAUGAUCAUUCAACGGUUGGACUUUACCCGAUCAUUGCGAAUUUUCAGUAUGUUGUUCCUUGCACUACAAUUGGUUUAUAGUUGGUACCCACUUUGUGAACCUCUAGAUUGAUAGUUUUCAUGGAGUAUUGUGAGUUAGUACAUCAUUUAUUUUUUCUUACUUAAAAUUUUUAGACUUUGUUUAGAGGUUGGUUGAUGAUGGGCCCACUAGAGAUUUUGGAUGUUAGUUGGAUUGUUUUAUGAUUUACAGUUUAAAAAAUAUUUUUUUUCGAUUUUAUUUAGUUGGAUUGUUUUAUGGUUUUACAAUUUAACACAUAUUUAUUGUCGAUUUGGUUGGUUGGUGAUCUAUUGGUCAGUUCACGGCCGGUCACGCAUUCAGAUUUUGGGCGUGACAAUAAGUACGCCUAAGACACUAUAAAUUGCUCAUAAAAAAAAUAGAACACUUAAUCUUUAUGAUUAACAUUCUUCUUCAUUAAAAAAGUCACUAAAUGCAAGGGGAAAAAAGAAAAUUCAAAUUUAAUUUCCUUUAGUAUCAUAUACCAAUGCACUAAUCAUGCCAACUCAAAAACAUCAAAGAGAACAUACAACAUUAAAAACCAAUUCAAGGAAAAAAAUUAUAAAAGACCUCAAAUUGAGGUUAAAAUUGUAACCUCGAAAAACUUAAGGCCAACACUGUGCACAAUCGAAGCCCUAAUUAUAUAAGUGCUUUCAGGAAAGAGAGGAGGAAAACGGGAGGAAAUGAGGGGGAAGGUAAAGAGAAGAGCAAAGUCAAUAGUCAAGUCCAACCCGUAUUGAAGCAUAAAACUCUGUAUUAAGCUAGCCCAAGCCUGUAAAAUAUAAUCAUCUUUAAUACCCCAUUCCAAACUUCCAAUAAAAUCUCAUGAUGUGCAGUGCAAUAACCAGCCUAAUCAGUAUGCUUUGGUGCCAAAGGGUUAACAACUAUUUAUAAUACAAUCACAAUUACGUGAAUUUAAAUCUAUCUCUCGCUAUUCUACGGUUGAAAUUCAUUGAGUUAAUUCAACGGCUGAGAUUACAUUAAAUUAUUUUUUCGCCCCAAAAUAUCACUUCCUUCUUCUCAAAAUGUGUGAAAUCCGUAUAUAUUUUUAUUCAAUGGACAAAAAAUCUUUCAAGAUGGGCAUAUCUUUCAAGAUGGGCAUACGAGAGAAAAAAUGUGUGGAACACACACAUUUUGUUUUUUUUGUAUUUAAUAUUUUUUUUACUAUUGAUUAACUUGUUACAUAUUUUGUAUUUGAUGAUAAGAGCCUAAAAAAAUAUAAAACAAUUAUUUAAUUUGGAGAUAUUUUUUUUUAUUUUAGGUGAACUUUCUCUUAAAUUAGAUAAUUUUUUAACAUUUUUAAACUAUUUUUCAAGAGAAAACCAAAAAAGUAUAAAAACCCACCCACAAAAAAAAAAAAAAAAAAAAAAUAUAUUGAUUAAUCGGUGAAAAAAUGAUUAAAGACAAAAAGUAAAAAUAAAGAAGAUAAAAGAAAAUUUGACCUCAAAUAGAAAGAAAGUUAUUUUCAUACGUCCAUUUUUUUAUAUUAUUAAAAUAAUUUAUCUCAUUAUUGAAUAAAACUAAUUUAAGUAAAAAUAAUAUUUAAUAUUUAUCAUAAUAAUGACAAAAAACAUUUAUAAUAUAAGACACAAAUAUUUUGAAUCUUUUAAACCAACUAUUAUAAAACAAAAAUUAUUUGGAAUUUCAAAUCUAGAUUUUUCAUUUGAGUACGCCUAGAUUAUUGAAAUGAUUUAUUCAAUGGUUGUAAAUAAACAUAUUUGAGGAAAAAUAAAUAUUUAAAGAAAUUUAUCAUACUAAGAUAAAAAAUAUAAAAAUUCUAAUAAGUACGCGGGCCUAAGAGUGGUAUUUUUUUUUUUUAAUAUAGCUGGACACGAGCAAUACUAGUUUUGUAUAAUUUACCAGUGAAAGAAACGAAACGAUUUGUGAGAUCACCCACGAAAAGGCACAAAGUUAAUAAAUGAGUUAUAGAAUUUUGAAAAUUUAAUUAGUUACAAACUUAUAAUCAUGCUUCUAGAUAAACUCAACUACAUUUAUUAGACUGAUCAGAAAUAUCUGCAAUAUAUUGAAAUAGAAUGAAAAUUCUUCGUAUACCUGUUUGUUUGAUGAUCAAUUGGUUCUUUCCAUAAACCUGUAAAUGUAAGCGAGUGAAUUUACAUAAGCCCACUACUUAAUUUCCACUUGAAAAAGGAACAUAGAGUUAUAAGAGGGAGGAAAUUACAUGGGGGGAAACUAAGAAAAACGAAAAGAAUAGGAAAGAGGGAGGAAAUUACAUGUUAGGAAACUAGGAAAGACGAAAAGGGAAAAAGAAAGUGGGAGGAAAGUAGUUUCCAGGAAUGCGCAUUGAAUUUGAUCCAGUGAUUUCACUACUUUAACUUUAAGCGAUGGUAAAUUGCAAAAAAUAGUCCUGAUCGUUUUUCCCAACUUAUAUUUUGGUUUCUAAAUUUUCAAAUCUCAAGAUUUAAACCUUCUAUUUUGAUAUUCUUGUCUAAUAAGUUCAAUUGAUAACGGAAGUUAGGUUCUUUUAAUAGAAUUGCAGAACAUGCCCAAACUGUAACCUCAUUUUAUGGCAAUUGACAGUGAAAUUGAACAAAUUACAAUAGUAUUUGGGCGAUUUAUUAUGAAAAUUAGUUGAAAAUGGGAGGAGAAGAUUUAUUUUAAUCCUUAAAUGAUGGUCCAUAUUUGGAAAGUAAAAAUCUGUACAAGAAACGUUAACAUUUGGAGUUAAAAUCGUAGGAUUUGAAAAUAUAGAGACCAAAAUCACAAAUGAAUGAAACUACAGGGAUGAUAUUUUAAUUUACCCCUAGAAGAAACAGGAGAGGAAAUUAAGGGCGUGUUUUGAAAAAGAAAGAGAGAGGAAGAAAAAUAAAUGAGGGAAAAAAUAGAAAAAGUUGGGUCAUUUUAUUUUGGUCGACUUUGCAAAGAAAAUAGAAAUAGAUUAAGCACACAGCUUUUCUGCCGUCUAUUUUUGGAUUGUAUUAUUGCAGUUUAAGUAUUUUGAGCUUCGUUUUAAACUCAUUUUGAUGAUUCAAACUUUAAUAUUGUAGAUUUUAUCUAGAACUUUAAUAUUAUUAAAAAUUAACUUUAGUACAAAUUAAUAGUACAUCAAUAUCAAUUUAUAUCAAGAUAAAUGAGUAUAAUUAUGUGUGUCACACUCAUUUUUUAAAGUUAUAAAACAGUAUUGAACUACUAAACUUCACGUGAAAUUUGUUAACUUCUUUUAUGAAUAAAUCAACCAAAAAAAUAGUUUUUUUUAUUAUGUAUAUUCAUUUUGUUUUCAUUAUCAAAUGUUUACAACUAAUUCUACUAAAACAAAUAUUAGGUACAACUAAAAAGCACAAUAAAGGCUUGUUUGGAUUGUGGAUUUUUUGUUGGUUACAUUUGGAUUUUGAAAUAAACUAAAAAACUGUGUAACUAUUUUCAUGGUCAUAAGGAUUUGUAUUAGUGAUAAAUUCUUUUAGGUACCCAAAAAAGCGUUAUAGAAUUUUUUUAAUUAUAUUAAUUUUAUAAAAUUAAAGAUAUUUAAAUUUAAUUUAUUAUGUAUUAAAGAUAUUGAACUGAAUAUAUUUUUCUCCGAAAGAAAAUAGGAAGAUAAAUAAAAAAUUAAACCUAUAUAAGAGAGCAUUUAAAUUCAAAUUCAAAUUCAAAUUCAAAUUUACAUUUUUCAAGGUUACCCAUUUAUUCCUCACUUUUAAAUUACUAUACAUCUAUUUAAAAUGGUAGUUUUGGAAGCUUACAAAUCUCAUGUUUUGACUUCUAUCAACCAUUUUAGAACACCCCAAAUUAAAAAAAAAAUAAUACCCAGAAUAAUUACUCAUAAAAGUAGGGGCAGAACCAUGAUAUUAGUUCAGUAGAGUAAAAAUUAUAAAUAUAUAUAUAAUUAUGAAAUAAUAGUGUAACUUUUAUUUUAGUGGGAUCAAAAUUAUAUUAGUAGAAUAUUUUUUUUCCAGUGAGUGAUAGUGUAAUUUUUUUUUCAGUGGAUCAAUUAACCUCAUACCAUGGCUCUGGCUCUGGCUCUGCCUCCGCCCUUGCAUAUAAGUACAUUUUUAAAUCACAAAACUCACAUUCUGGUAAAUUUUUGAAAUAAAAUUUUAGGUCUUUAUCAUUUUCGAAGCAAAAAAUUUGGUUUUUUUUCUUCUAGUUUAUGAUUUUCUAUGGAUUGAGCACUCCCAAUAUGCAGAUCAACUACCAAAGGGAUUAGACUGAUCAGAGAUAUCUGCAAUAUUGAAAUUGAAUGGAAAUUCUUUGUAUGAUGAUCAAUUGGUUCUUUCCAUAAACUUUGAUGAUCAAUUGGUUCUUUCCAUAAACUUUGAUGAUCAAUUGGUUUCUUUCCAUAAACCUGUAAUUGUAAACGAGUGAAUUUACAUAAGAAUUUCCAUAGAAUAUAGUUUCACAACUUGACAAAGGAAUAGAGGGAGGAAAUUUUAUGGUGGGAAACUAAGAAAAGCGAAAAAGAAAGUGGGAGGAAAGUAGUUUCCAGGAAUGCGCAUUAAACAAGUAAUUUCACUUAACUUUAACUUUUUUGAAUAGAGUAAACUGCAAAAAUAGUCCUGAUAGUUUUCCUCAACUUCGAUUUGGGUUUCUAAAUUUUCAAAUCUUGAAAUUUAAACCUUGUAUCUUGAUUUUCUUGUCUAAUCAGUUUAAUUGGUAAUUGAAGUUAGACUUUUGGACAGAAAUUUAGCGCAUGCUCGAUCUAUUACCUCAUUUGAUGGUGAUUUACAAUGAAAUUGAAUAAAUUAUAGUGGAAUUUGGGCGAUUUACUAUUGGAAUUAGGUAGAAAUGGGAGGAGAAGGUUGAUUAUAAUCCUCAAAUGAUGGUACAUGUGGGAAAGUGAAAAUCCAUCCAAAAAUUAUGGGAGAAAAUCAAAAAUAAUAGGGUAAAAAUGCAGGAUUAAAAAUAUAAAGACCAAGAUUGCAAAUGAGUAAAACUACAGGGAUUGUUUUUUCAAUUUACACUUCAAAGAAAAAGAAGAGGAAAGAGGGAGGAAUUAAGGGUGUUUUUGGAAAAAGAAGAGCGGAAGAAAAAUAAUUAGGUAAAAAAUAUAAAAAGUGGUUAUUUUAUUUUGUUCGACUUUGCAAAAAAAAUAGAAAUAGAUUAUUCACACAACUUUUCUGCUGUCAAUUUUUGGAUUAUAUCAGUACAGUUUAAGUAUUUGGGGCUUCAUUUUAGACCCAUUUUGAUUAUUUAAACUUUAAUAUUGUAGAUAUAAUCGAAAAUUUUAAUAUUAUUAAAAAUCAACUUUAAUGGAAUUGCAGCACAUGCCCAACAUGUAACCUCAUUUGAUGGCAAUUUAUAAAAUUGAACAAAUUAUAAUGGUUAUUUGGGCCAUUUAUAUGGGAAAUGGUUUUGGAUGAAAAGGGAGGAGAAAGUUGAUUUAAUCCUCAAAUGAUGGUACAGUUUGGAAAGUAAACUCCGUACAAAUAGCGUUACCAAUUAGGGCCUAAUUAGGCAAUUAAAAUCAAAAUAUAAAGGUUAAAAUCGUAUGAUUUGAAAAUAUAGAGACCAAAACCACAAAUGAGUGAAACUACAGGGAUGAAUUUUUUAAUUUACCCUUAGAAGAACCAGAAGAGGAAAGAGGGAGGAAAUUAAGGGUGUGUUUGGAAAAAGAAAGAGAGAGAAGAAAAAUAAAUGAGGGAAAAAAAUAGAAAAAGUUGGUCAUUUUAUUUUGGUCGACUUUACAAAGAAAAAAGAAAUAGAUUAAGCACACAACUUUUCUGCCGUUUUAUUUUUGGAUUGUAUUAUUAUAGUUUAACUAUUUUGAGUUUAGUUUUAAACCCAUUUUGAUAAUUUAAACUUUAAUAUUGUAUAUCUAAUCGAAAACUUUAAUAUUAUUAAAAAUCAACUUUAAUA
rnacentral:lncRNA from 1 species